AUUGAUUGGGGAAUUUUAUUGGUUGUUUUUAGGCGGAGAAUUCUCUGUAGGCGACUUUUGAGUUCGUUAAAGUGGCCUAUCAGUUUGUUUACACAAGUCUCUAAGGAUCAAUAAGCAUUGUCCAUCUGCAGGUUUGAAGAUGAUGCAUCAUUGGGGAUCGGGAUUAGAGAGCUUGUAGUUAGAUUUGCUUUAUUAAGUGAUUUGGUUUGUUAACUUAAAUUUGAAAUUUGUCGUACUAUUCGUAUUUCCUUAUUUCAGUUAAAUGGGUUUUGGACUAAA